ACCUGCAUGAGCCAAGCC
rnacentral:snRNA from 1 species